AGUGAACGCUGGCGGUAGGCCUAACACAUGCAAGUCGGACGGCAGCACAGUAAGAGCUUGCUCUUACGGGUGGCGAGUGGCGGACGGGUGAGGAAUACAUCGGAAUCUACUUUUUCGUGGGGGAUAACGUAGGGAAACUUACGCUAAUACCGCAUACGACCUACGGGUGAAAGCAGGGGAUCUUCGGACCUUGCGCGAUUGAAUGAGCCGAUGUCGGAUUAGCUAGUUGGCGGGGUAAAGGCCCACCAAGGCGACGAUCCGUAGCUGGUCUGAGAGGAUGAUCAGCCACACUGGAACUGAGACACGGUCCAGACUCCUACGGGAGGCAGCAGUGGGGAAUAUUGGACAAUGGGCGCAAGCCUGAUCCAGCCAUACCGCGUGGGUGAAGAAGGCCUUCGGGUUGUAAAGCCCUUUUGUUGGGAAAGAAAGGCAGCAGGUUAAUACCCCGCUGUUCUGACGGUACCCAAAGAAUAAGCACCGGCUAACUUCGUG
rnacentral:rRNA from 1 species